rnacentral:misc_RNA from 1 species
CCGUAGCCAUUUUGGCUCAAGGUACAAGUUGGGCUGUUGCGGUCACGCAGGCCUU